rnacentral:rRNA from 1 species
GGUGCUGCAUUGGCUGUCGUCAGCUCGUGCCGUGAGGUGUGGGUUAAGUCCCGCAACGAGCGCAACCCUUGUGACUAGUUGCCACUUCCACUUCGGUGGGAAGCACUCUAGUCAGACUGCCCGUGAUAAGCGGGAGGAAGGUGGGGAUGACGUCAAGUCCGUAUGGCCUUUAUGCCCAGGGCUGCACACGUGCUACAAUGGAUGGUACAGAAGGACGCAAGACCGCGAGGUGGAGCAAAUCCCCAAAACCAUCCACAGUUCAGAUUGGAGUCUGCAACUCGACUCCAUGAAGCUGGAAUCGCUAGUAAAGGCGUAUCAGCUACGACGCCUUGAAUACGUUCCCGGGCCUU